rnacentral:rRNA from 1 species
CCUACGGGAGGCAGCAGUGAGGAAUAUUGGUCAAUGGACGCGAGCCUGAACCAGCCAAGUAGCGUGAAGGAUGACUGCCCUACGGGUUGUAAACUUCUUUUAUAAAGGAAUAAAGUGAGGCACGUGUGCCUUUUUGUAUGUGCUUUAUGAAUAAAGAUCGGCUCACUCCGUGCCCGCAGCCGCGGUAAUACGGAGGAUCCGAGCGUUAUCCGGAUUUAUUGGGUUUAAAGGGAGCGUAGAUGGGUUGUUAAGUCAGUUGUGAAAGGUUGCGGCUCAACAGUACAAUUGCAAUUGAUACUGGCAGCCUUGAGUACAGUUGGGGUAGGCGGAAUUCGUGGUGUAGCGGUGAAAUGCUUAGAUAUCACGAAGAACUCCGAUUGCGAAGGCAGCUGACUAAACUGCCACUGACACUGAUGCUCGAAAGUGUGGGUAUCAAACAGGAUUAGAUACCCGGGUAGUC